AUUGAACGCUGGCGGCAUGCUUUACACAUGCAAGUCGAACGCGGUUGAGGGGUAACUCUUGACUGAGUGGCGAACGGGUGAGUAAUACAUCGGAACGUACCUCGUUGUGGGGGAUAACCCACCGAAAGGUGGGCUAAUACCGCAUACGCCCUGAGGGGGAAAGCGGGGGACCUGAGAGGGCCUCGCGCGAUGGGAGCGGCCGAUGUCGGAUUAGCUAGUUGGUGGGGUAAAGGCCUACCAAGGCGACGAUCCGUAGCUGGUCUGAGAGGAUAAUCAGCCACACUGGGACUGAGACACGGCCCAGACUCCUACGGGAGGCAGCAGUGGGGAAUUUUGGACAAUGGGGGCAACCCUGAUCCAGCCAUGCCGCGUGAGUGAAGAAGGCCUUCGGGUUGUAAAGCUCUCUCGGCCGGAACGAAAUCGCAUGGGUGAAUAUCCUGUGUGGAUGAC
rnacentral:rRNA from 1 species